UACGUAGGGGGGCAAGCGUUGUCCGGAAUCAUUGGGCGUAAAGAGCGUGUAGGCGGCUCGAUAAGUCUGCUGUGAAAGUCCAGGGCUCAACCCUGGAAGGCCGGUGGAAACUGUCGGGCUAGAGUCCGGAAGAGGCGAGUGGAAUUCCCGGUGUAGCGGUGAAAAUGCGCAGAUAUCGGGAGGAACACCAAUGGCGAAGGCAGCUCGCUGGGACGGUACUGACGCUGAGACGCGAAAGCGUGGGGAGCAAACAGG
rnacentral:rRNA from 1 species